rnacentral:rRNA from 1 species
GACGAACGCUGGCGGCGUGCUUAACACAUGCAAGUCGAACGAUGAAGCUGGAGCUUGCUCCGGUGGAUUAGUGGCGAACGGGUGAGUAACACGUGAGCAAUCUGCCCUUCACUCUGGGAUAACUGCGGGAAACUGUAGCUAAUACCGGAUACGAGACCUUGGGGCAUCCCAGGGUCUGGAAAGAAUUUCGGUGAAGGAUGAGCUCGCGGCCUAUCAGCUAGUUGGUGAGGUAAUGGCUCACCAAGGCGACGACGGGUAGCCGGCCUGAGAGGGUGACCGGCCACACGGGGACUGAGACACGGCCCAGACUCCGACGGGAGGCAGCAGUGGGGAAUAUUGCACAAUGGGCGAAAGCCUGAUGCAGCAACGCCGCGUGAGGGAUGAAGGCCUUCGGGUUGUAAACCUCUUUUAGUAGGGAAGAAGCGCAAGUGACGGUACCUACAGAAAAAGCACCGGCUAACUACGUGCCAGCCGCCGCCGUAA